UACCCCGCUGAACUUAAGCAUAUCAAUAAGCGGAGGAAAAGAAACUAACAAGGGAUUCCCCUAGUAACUGCGAGUGAAGCGGGAAAAGCUCAAAUUUAAAAUCUGGCGGUCUUUGGCCGUCCGAGUUGUAGUCUGGAGAAGUGCUUUUCCGCGCUGGACCGUGUAUAAGUCUCUUGGAACAGAGCGUCAUAGAGGGUGAGAAUCCCGUCUUUGACACGGACUACCAGUGCUUUGUGAUGCGCUCUCAAAGAGUCGAGUUGUUUGGGAAUGCAGCUCAAAAUGGGUGGUGAAUUCCAUCUAAAGCUAAAUAUUGGCGAGAGACCGAUAGCGAACAAGUACCGUGAGGGAAAGAUGAAAAGCACUUUGGAAAGAGAGUUAAACAGUACGUGAAAUUGCUGAAAGGGAAACGCUUGAAGUCAGUCGCGUCGGCCGGAACUCAGCCUUGCUUUUGCUUGGUGCACUUUCCGGUUGACGGGCCAGCAUCGAUUUUGACCGUCGGAAAAGGGCUAGAGUAAUGUGGCACCUCCGGGUGUGUUAUAGACUCUAGUCGCAUACGGCGGUUGGGAUCGAGGAACGCAGCGCGCCGCAAGGCAGGGGUUCGCCCACUUUCGCGCUUAGGAUGCUGGCAUAAUGGCUUUAAACGACCCGUCUUGAAACACGGACCAAGGAGUCUAACAUACCUGCGAGUGUUUGGGUGGAAAACCCGAGCGCGUAAUGAAAGUGAAAGUUGGGACCUCUGUCGUGGAGGGCACCGACGCCCGGACCUGACGUUCUCUGACGGAUCCGCGGUAGAGCAUGUAUGUUGGGACCCGAAAGAUGGUGAACUAUGCCUGAAUAGGGUGAAGCCAGAGGAAACUCUGGUGGAGGCUCGUAGCGAUUCUGACGUGCAAAUCGAUCGUCCAAAUUUGGGUAUAGGGGCGAAAGACUAAUCCAACCCCCUUAAUAGCUGGUUCCUGCCGAAGUUUUCCCCUCAGGAAA
rnacentral:rRNA from 1 species